UAAUCGCUUGAAUAAGAACUGUCAACCUGGAAGAAGGGGCAGCUUCAUGGAAGUCAGCGACUGGCUUCUUCCACCUCUCCUGUUUAGUGUUGUGGAAGCAUUAGGGGCAGACUGAAGGCUCUGAGCUAUUCUGAGCUCAGAAAUUAGUUUUGUACUACAAGAGAAAUUUGGCAGAGAAGUCUGCAUCACCAUAGUGAUAGAUAGCACCAGUUAAUCUUGUGUGUGUUUCAGAUGCAAAUCCUAGUAAGAUGGGAGUACCUUAUGUUUGCAAGUUGUCAAACUUCUAAGAGUCAAUGUUGAGAAGCUCACAAGUUGUUAUGAGUACUGUUGAGAGUGAAGACAUUACACAAGUAUAGGAGAGUAUCAAUUGAGGGAUCUGAGCAUUUUUAUUCAUAAUAGCCAGAAACUGGAAACAACAUUGCUUGAAUAAAGAUUGGAUAAAGAAAAUAUGGUACAUUUACACAAU
rnacentral:lncRNA from 1 species